GUACUAUUACUCAAAAACUGAUUCUCUUGAAUCAGCAGAUUCGAGUGUUUAUAGCGCCGUCAAGAAGCUGUGUUUUGUGUGUUGAUCGUCUCCACCAUGCACGCGGUAUUCAAGACCAGCAACGUCUUGAUCAAGAAGAAGAAAAGAACGGAGAAGCAAAGAACGACGAUGUAACUACUAAAUAGCGGGUUUUCCACACUGGUACGCUGUAUGACGUCGAGCAAUGCCAAUAAUGGAAGUGCUCUUUGAAGAACUGAGCGUCUAGAUCUUCUUCAGUCAGAUGAAGCUAACGGAUUCGGAAAUCGUCGAAGAAGCAGAGGACAUCACAGCUGAAAACAAACGUGAGUCAAACUCCUGUGGUUAAGUUUUGCAGCUACUCUCAAAAUAUUUUGUCUUGUUUGCUCGUGUUGAUUGAGACUGCUUUUAAAUUAUCUAUCAGGGAAGCCCUAAUAAGAGGUCCAAGAGAAAUUUAUUCGGGUCAACUGAUACCAUGCCACGUACUAAAUCGUUAAUGGUUUUCAGGUAAAAAAUAACCAUGGGAAUAUGGGGUCGCAUAAAUAGAUGUCACUGGUGGAAAAUAAGAAGGUGAUAUGGUAUUUUUCUUUUCUACUGUCUGAUUUUUAAAGAUUUGGUGAGGAACAUCCAAUCUGUCGAUCGCGGUCGCUAACCAAUUGUUAGAAAAACAGCACCAAUAAUGGUAAGAAGGUGUGCUGUGAAGUGGCGUGAUAAUUUUAAUCAUGGACAUUCAGGUUUCAUUUCGUGAUUUGUUAGGUCGAACUCGGAUGUGCUUUAUUCGAGAUUUUAACACAAAUUGCAUUUUAUACAUAAAAAAAUUUAUCAGGAAGCUACAAUGUUACAGCAUUACCCGUACUAUGGCUCGUCCCGGUUUGUAUUGCUUUGUAUAAUCUUUAGUUGAACGCUAAGUAUAUUAUUAGAGGCUAGCUAAGAGAAUUUGGCUAGAUCUUUACAAGAUUAGUGAAUGUGAUUUUUUAAAGAAAUUGUGCCUGUUGCACAUCGAUAUUAUUGGCCUUGAUUCUUAAAGG